rnacentral:lncRNA from 1 species
UUCCUUUCCAGUUCCACUAUCGUGAUCCUGUUUGGGCAUCUGCACGCRAGUGUUUGUUUUCCCUUCUGCCAGGGGACUCCUGCAUGUGCCUCCUUCCUUCCCCUCCCCGUGUGCUUCCUCUGCCCUCAUCACAAAAAUCACUUUUCGUUAGACAUGGGAAAGCCAUCAGCACCUUCCGUCGCUCAGAACACCGUUUGCUGGAGCAGCUCUCGGAGUUACCAUCUUUGGCUCUCCCUGAAUGGAUCAUUUGCAAGAAAAUUACAGUAUGUGUCUGUCUGAAGUACCAGCUAAUUGAACACUCAGAAGACAAUCAGUGAUGCACUCCUGGAAGUCAGGCUAUGGACCAAAGAAACCAAAAGAUUUAUUGCUUCAAGAAGGUGGACAAAUUGGAAAGAAUCCCAGGGCAAAGAGUGGGGAUGCCUGCUGAUGUAGAUAACAGUCUCUGAGGAAAGACUGAGAAAACUUGGUUAGAAAUGAAAGAGAAGUCCCCAAGGAAUCUCCAUAAUCAAAAGUAAGUUUGACAAACAUCUUUCAGGAAUGACAUAGAGAUAGUGCAUCAUUUCAGUAGGGUAUGGACUGAAUGACCACUUAAAAUCUUUUUCAGUUCUAUCUUUCUAUAUUUGCUGUUCUUGGACUUUGUGAAUGUGUUGUGAGUGACCUUCUGAAUCUGUUUUUUCCUUCUCUGAAGAAUGCUAUUAAAUCACAGACAGCAAUAACAUUGAAAUAUAUAAUGUCUGUAUGCUCACUUUUAUCUACCAGUCUCAUAAACUCUUAGAAAAGUAAAACUGGAUUUGCUAAUGAUCUGUUUUCCAUAAAGCCACCUUGAUGGGCAUUACUUCUACUUCCAGCCUUAGGCUGUUUAAUUCAUUCCUAAAUAAUCCCAUUUUUUGGCUGAGUAUCACACUAUCGUGGUCUUUCUGGUCACCCUUUGGAAUACUGGUGUACAAUUAGC